AACUAUUGCUGACCACUGCCUGCCUGUGGCUAGCUUUACAACAUUCAAGUCCAUCUGUGAGCCCUGUGACCCUGCCUCUGAUAGGACUGAAGUAUCUAGAUGAAUUUGGGAUGGGGAUGCUGGACUCCUUGGGGACUGCUGGGACAAAGAUACAUAUUUGCCUGCUAUGUAGGCAGACAAAGGACCAGUUCCCAGUCUGGUCCUCUCCCAUCCAUUGGCUGUUCUUUCAUGCCAGCUACACAGUAAAUCUCAAUAAGUGUUUACUAAGUGAGUGAAUCCUUCUCCUGCUUUGUCCUCAUUUGAAUACAGGAUCCUGUUUCUUCAGGAUGGGUCUCUUCUUUUCUCAGGCCUAUUGUCUAGGACAUAGUGUCCACUGGAGGCAGCAUCCCAUCAGCCACGCACUGGACAAGCAAACAUGGAUUUCUUUUGAGGGUACUGGUAUUCAAUCACCCAGCUAGACUUAGUCCAUAGACAUACUUGGGCCUGCCCUUGGAAACCUUUUCAUCCUCUUGCGUGGAUCAAGCUGUUUCUGCUUCUGACUUUCCAGCCACCUAACUUGCCGAAGAUGGAGCUCAGGGCCUCACACACACCAGAGGGGACAAGCCAGCCACAGGAACAGCUGCUUAGCAUUAAGGAAAAGAGGAAGGAGCCCCGUGAAGGACAGUUAGAAACCUGUUUUGUCACAUCACCCAGGCAUUCCCUCUUUUGCUUCCUGACCCCCUCUAUCGGUGCACCCACGUUCCCACUGCCUCCCCUCCCAGGUCUUCCGUUCAGCUCAUUGCCUCCUGUUCAUGUUUGCCUGGCAAAUUAGGUCACUAUCCACAUGGACGUUUUUGGUGCUUUACUCCAGGUCCUCAGGGCCUCCCAUUCCCAGCCACCUUUUCUAUGGGCCAUGUGAAGAAGAGGCUCCCCAGCCCAGAAAGGCUGAAUGAUGACUCAGCCUGGCUGGGAGGGAGUGCCAGGCUUCUCUGGCCGGAGCUGCUGCCUUGCUGCUGGCUCCCAGGCCCUAGAGUUCUCUAGUGCCACGGACCUUCUAGCUCACUUCAGUACACACGUCAGGGGCAGCCAUCUGCUUUGGGGCUGCCCUUCGUGUUGCCGAGGGCUUUUCCAUUACGUCUGUUAUUACUGCUGACCGUGCUAGUCCCAGGAGGUCUACAGCGACAGCAAACUUGACAGCUCACAGGAAUGGGACCUGCCAGGGAAGGGAGAGGGGAUCCAGGUCUUCUCUGGGCCCGCUGAACUUACCUAAUCA